rnacentral:ncRNA from 2 species
AAUUGUCUUCGGGGUGAGGCGAAAAUCCUCGACCGGCGGUGACAGCCCGCGACGUUUACCCCUGCCGAGUCCCCGCUUCGCCAAAGGCGGAUGCGGGACGAGUGCGGGGUCCGACUUGAACCGGUGAAAUCCCGGUGCCGACGGUAACAGUCCGGAUGGGAGAAGACAACC